rnacentral:rRNA from 1 species
CCCUUAGAUGUUCUGGGCCGCACGCGCGCUACACUGAUACGUUCAACAAGUUCCUUGGCCGAAAGGUCUGGGUAAUCUUUGAAACCGUAUCGUGAUAGGGAUAGAUUAUUGCAAUUAUUAAUCUUGAACGAGGAAUUCCUAGUAAACGCAGAUCAUCAAUCUGCAUUGAUUACGUCCCUGCCCUUUGUACACACCGCCCGUCGCACCUACCGAUUGGAUGGUCCGGUGAAGCCUCGGGAUUGUGGCGGUUGCCUUUAUUGGUGGCCGCCGCGAGAACUUGUCUAAACCUUAUCAUCUAGAGGAAGGUGAAGUCGUAACA